CAUUAUUGAAAUAAACCUGAUGGGUUGUUGCUGGUUCUCUAGGGAGCAUGUGCACACCUUGUCAUCUUUAUAUCUCCACCUGUGCACUUUUUGUAGACCUUUCAGGUCUAUGUUGCUUCAUUUACCCCAAUGUAUGUUAAUAGAAUGUUGUGCCUAUAUAAUAUAUACAACUUUCAGCAACGGAUCUCUUGGCUCUCGCAUCGAUGAAGAACGCAGCGAAAUGCGAUAAGUAAUGUGAAUUGCAGAAUUCAGUGAAUCAUCGAAUCUUUGAACGCACCUUGCGCUCCUUGGUAUUCCGAGGAGCAUGCCUGUUUGAGUGUCAUUAAUAUAUCAACCUUCUCUUUUUUGAGUUGUUUGGAUGUGGGGGUUUGCUGGCCUCUUAAAUGAUUCAGCUCCCCUGAAAUGCAUUAGCAGAACAACCUGUUCAUUGGCGUGAUAAUUAUCUAUGCUAUUGAAUGUGAGGGGCAGUUCAGCUUUCUAACCGUCCUCGGACAAUUCAUCAUUAAUGUGACCUCAAAUCAGGUAGGACUACCCGCUGAACUU
rnacentral:rRNA from 1 species